AGAAAACAGAUUUCAAAGGAUUCAGAAGAAUUUUCAUGAAGAUAGCUGAAAGAUGCAAAAAAUGACAUUCUGAAGCCACAGUAUCCCAAGGAGAAAGAAAUAAUGGACUUAGGCUGAAGAGACUAUUAUGAAUUCACCAAUAUACAGAGAUUUUUUAAAAGCAUGUGGAAGAUCAAAUUAAGGCCAGAUAAUUGAGAGUGAAUGUAAAAGAGAAAAAGGGAGAUAAACGGAGGAAAAGGCUUUUCAUUUCUGAGGGUAGCUUGAUGAUCAGUGAAAAAAAAACAACAACAGGACUUCAGCAUUUCCAUUGGUAAUGCAAAGUUGCCCAGAGAUGGAGGAAGGAGAGAGACAGAGAGGCAGGGAAAGACCCUGGAACUCCAUUGAAGGAGGAGGCUGGCAAGUGGUUCAAUGUCUCAGGGGACUGAGGUAAGA